rnacentral:tRNA from 1 species
ACUAUUUUGACAGAGUUAUGUGUUGAAUUUAGAUUUCAAUUAAGUAGGUUAUUCUACAAAUAGUA